rnacentral:misc_RNA from 1 species
AACGCACAUUGCGCCCGCCAGUAUUCUGGCGGGCAUGCCUGUCUGAGCGUCAUUUCAACCCUCAUGCCCCUAGGGCGUGGUGUUGGGGAUCGGCCAAGGCCCGCAAGGGACGGCCGGCCCCUAAAUAUAGUGGCGGACCCGUCGUGGCCUCCCCUGCGAAGUAGUGAUAUUCCGCAUCGGAUAGCGACGAGCCCCAGCCGUUAAACCCCCCAAACUUUUACAAGGUUGACCUCAGAUCAGGUAGGAAUACCCGCUGAACUUAA